AAUGAACGUUGGCGGCGUGGAUUAGGCAUGCGAGUCGAGCGAGAACCGUAGCAAUACGGGGACAGCGGCGAAAGGGACAGUAACGGGUAGAUUAUCUGCCCUCAGGUUUGGGAUAGCUGCGGGAAACUGCAAGUAAUACCAAAUAAUAUCUCCGGAUCAAAGGUGUGAUUCCGCCUGAGGAUGAGUCUGCCUCCUAUUAGCUUGUUGGUGGGGUAACGGCCUACCAAGGCAUUGAUGGGUAGCGGGUGUGAGAGCACGACCCGCGUCAUUGGGACUGAGACACUGCCCAGACACCUACGGGUGGCUGCAGUCGAGAAUCUUCGGCAAUGGACGCAAGUCUGGCCGAGCGACGCCGCGUGUGGGAUGAAGGCCUUCGGGUUGUAAACCACUGUCAGAGGGGAUGAAAUGCAGGUGGGUACUCCCAUCUGUUUGACAUAGCCUCAGAGGAAGUACGGGCUAAGUUCGUGCCAGCCGCCGCCGUAAUAC
rnacentral:rRNA from 1 species